AUUGAACGCUGGCGGCAGGCCUAACACAUGCAAGUCGAGCGGAUGAAGGGAGCUUGCUCCUGGAUUCAGCGGCGGACGGGUGAGUAAUGCCUAGGAAUCUGCCUGGUAGUGGGGGAUAACGUCCGGAAACGGGCGCUAAUACCGCAUACGUCCUGAGGGAGAAAGUGGGGGAUCUUCGGACCGCACGCUAUCAGAUGAGCGUAGGUCGGAUUAGCUAGUUGGUGGGGUAAAGGGCUACCAAGGCGACGAUCCGUAACUGGUCUGAGAGGAUGAUCAGUCACCCUGGAACUGAGACACGGUCCAGACUCCUACGGGAGGCAGCAGUCGGGAAUAUUGGACAAUGGGCGAAAGCCUGAUCCAGCCAUGCCGCGUGUGUGAAGAAGGUCUUCGGAUUGUAAAGCACUUUAAGUUGGGAGGAAGGGCAGUAAGUUAAUACCUUGCUGUUUUGACGUUACCAACAGAAUAAGCACCGGCUAACUUCGUG
rnacentral:rRNA from 1 species